rnacentral:rRNA from 1 species
CAGCAGCCGCGGGAAUACAGAGGGUGCGAGCGUUAAUCGGAUUUACUGGGCGUAAAGCGUGCGCAGGCGGCUAAUUGAGUCGGAUGUGAAAUCCCCGAGCUUAACUCGGGAAUUGCAUUCGAUACUGGUUAGCUAGAGUGUGGGAGAGGAUGGUAGAAUUCCAGGUGUAGCGGUGAAAUGCGUAGAGAUCUGGAGGAAUACCGAUGGCGAAGGCAGCCAUCUGGCCUAACACUGACGCUGAGGUACGAAAGCAUGGGGAGCAAACAGGAUUAGAUACCCCUGUAGUCCCUGUCUCUUAUAC